rnacentral:rRNA from 1 species
UACAGAGGGUGCAAGCGUUAAUCGGAAUUACUGGGCGUAAAGCGUGCGUAGACGGUUAUGUAAGUCGGGUGUGAAAGCCCCGGGCUCAACCUGGGAAUUGCAUUCGAGACUGCAUAGCUAGGGUGCGGAAGAGGGAAGCGGAAUUUCCGGUGUAGCGGUGAAAUGCGUAGAUAUCGGAAGGAACACCAGUGGCGAAAGCGGCUUCCUGGUCCAGCAC